AUUGAACGCUGGCGGCAGGCCUAACACAUGCAAGUCGAACGAGUGGCGGACGGGUGAGUAAUGUCUGGGAAACUGCGCGAUGGAGGGGGAUAACUACUGGAAACGGUAGAUAAUACCGCAUACCAUCGGAUGUGCCCAGAUUGGAUUAGCUAGUAGGUGGGGUAACGGCUCACCUAGGCGACGAUCCCUAGCUGGUCUGAGAGGAUGACCAGCCACCCGGUAACUGAGCACCGGUCCAGACUCCCAAGUGAGGCAGCAGUGGGGAAUAUUGCACAAUGGGCGCAAGCCUGAUGCAGCCAUGCCGGUCGUAUGAAGAAGGCCUUCGGGUUGUAAAGUACUUUCAGCGAGGAGGCGUUACUCGCAGAAGAAGCACCGGCUAACUCCGUGCCAGCAGCCGCGGUAAUAC
rnacentral:rRNA from 1 species